CAGCAGCCGCGGGAAUACGUAGGUGGCAAGCGUUGUCCGGAAUUAUUGGGCGUAAAGGGCUCGCAGGCGGUUUCUUAAGUCUGAUGUGAAAGCCCCCGGCUCAACCCGGGAGGGUCAUUGGAAACUGGGAAACUUGAGUGCAGAAGAGGAGAGUGGAAUUCCACGUGUAACGGUGAAAUGCGUAGAGAUGUGGAGGAACACCAGUGGCGAAGGCGACUCUCUGGUCUGUAACUGACGCUGAGGAGCGAAAGCGUGGGGAGCGAACAGGAUUAGAGACCCCUGUAGUCCCUGUCUCUUAUAC
rnacentral:rRNA from 1 species